UUCCGCCGCUCGCUGUUCGUCGCUGACCGCCGAGUCGCCCAUUCUGUCACCCAGCCCGAACCGUCCAGCCUAGGUUCGCUUCACCUUACCGUCAGAUCCGCAUCGUCACGUCGUAUCUGCGGCCUAGUCGUCAGAUUUCUUCUGUUGCCACCACCGUUGCUUGUGCCAGAAUCUCGGAGUCUUUGGAUUUGAGUGUUGGAAGAGUUUCAAGGUCGAAAGCGGAUCUUGCGACGUUGCAAAAAGUUGUUUCAGAUUGGUCAUCAAACUUUUGGUUGUGGAUUUGAUCUUGGACAAAGCCACAACUUUGGUAAGUUAAAUUGGGGUUCGUUGGAUUAAAUGUGGUAUGUUUUGGUUUUGGCUCCAAAGAUUGAAUUCUAGUGUUUGUGUUUUGUGCUAGGGGAAUUAAUUCGAGAGUUACUUUGUUGGAGAUUAAUUGUUUGGGUUAAUUUUGGAUUUAAUUUUGAGGUAAGGGUAGUGAUGCACCGGCGAUGGAUAAGCGGAAUUCGUGAUUGAGCUACUGGG